CCUACGGGAGGCAGCAGUGAGGAAUAUUGGUCAAUGAGCGAGAGCCUGAACCAGCCAAGUCGCGUGAGGGAUGACGGUCCUAUGGAUUGUAAGCCUCUUUUGUCGGGGAACACAGGCGUCCACGUGUGGGCUGAUGAGUGUACCCGAAGAAAAAGCAUCGGCUAACUCCGUGCCAGCAGCCGCGGUAAUACGGAGGAUGCGAGCGUUAUCCGGAUUUAUUGGGUUUAAAGGGUGCGUAGGCGGACAGUCAAGUCAGCGGUAAAAAUGCGGUGCUCAACGCCGUACAGCCGUUGAUACUGGCAGUCUUGAGUGGGCGAGAAGUAUGCGGAAUGCGUUGUGUAGCGGUGAAAUGCAUAGAUAUCACGCAGAACUCCGAUGGCGAAGGCAGCAUACCGGCGCCCUACUGACGCUGAGGCACGAAAGCGUGGGUAUCGAACAGGAUUAGAUACCCGUGUAGUC
rnacentral:rRNA from 1 species